GCUGGCGGCGUGCCUAACACAUGCAAGUCGAGCGAAGCGCGAAAGUUAGCUUGCUAAUUUUUGUGACUGAGCGGCGAACGGGUGAGUAACACGUGGGUAAUCUACCUGGAAGCCUGGGAUAACAGUUCGAAAGGACUACUAAUACCGGAUGACAUUGAUGAUGUAGAGUCAUUGAUCAAAGCGUUACGGAGCGCUUUCAGAUGAGCCCGCGUCCCAUUAGCUAGUUGGUGAGGUAAAGGCUUACCAAGGCGACGAUGGGUAGCCGGUCUGAGAGGAUGGUCGGCCACACUGGAACUGAGACACGGUCCAGACUCCUACGGGAGGCAGCAGUGGGGAAUUUUCCGCAAUGGGCGAAAGCCUGACGGAGCAACGCCGCGUGAGGGAUGAAGGCCUCUGGGCUGUAAACCUCUUUUCUCAAGGAAGAAGACAUGACGGUACUUGAGGAAUAAGCCACGGCUAAUUCCGUGCCAGCAGCCGCGGUAAUACGGGAGUGGCAAGCGUUAUCCGGAAUUAUUGGGCGUAAAGCGUCCGCAGGCGGCCUUUUAAGUCUGUUGUUAAAGCGUGGAGCUCAACUCCAUUUCGGCAAUGGAAACUGGAAGGCUGGAGUGUGGUAGGGGCAGAGGGAAUUCCCGGUGUAGCGGUGAAAUGCGUAGAUAUCGGGAAGAACACCAGUGGCGAAGGCGCUCUGCUGGGCCAUAACUGACGCUCAUGGACGAAGCCAGGGGAGCGAAGGGAUUAGAUACCCCUGUAGUCCUGGCCGUAAACGAUGAACACUAG
rnacentral:rRNA from 1 species